AUUGAACGCUGGCGGCAGGCCUAACACAUGCAAGUCGAAAGAGUGGCGGACGGGUGAGUAAUCUCUGGGAAACUGCAUGAUGGAGGGGGAUAACUACUGGAAACGGUCGCUAAUACCGCAUACCCUAGGAUGUGCCCCGAUGGGAUUGGCUUGUUGGUGGGGUAACGGCUCCCCAAUGAGACGAUCCCUAGAUGGUCUGAGAGGAUGAUCAGCAACACUGGAACGUAGACACGGUCCAGACUCCUACGGUAGGCAGCAGUGUUGAAUAUUGCACAAGGGGCGCAAGCCGGAUGCAGCCAUGCCGCGGGUAUGAAGAAGGCCUUCGGGUUUUAAAGUACUUUCAGCGGGGAGGCGUUACCCGCAGAAGAAGCACCGGCUAACUCCGUGCCAGCAGCCGCGGUAAUAC
rnacentral:rRNA from 1 species